CCUACGGGGCGCAGCAGUGGGGAAUCUUCCGCAAUGGGCGAAAGCCUGACGGAGCAAUGCCGCGUGAGUGAAGAAGUAUUUCGGUAUGUAAAGCUCUAUCAGCAGGAACGAGACAAGACGGUACCUGACUAAGAAGCCCCGGCUAACUACGUGCCAGCAGCCGCGGUAAUACGUAGGGGGCAAGCGUUAUCCGGAAUCACUGGGUGUAAAGGGAGCGUAGACGGCUGAGCAAGCCUGAAGUGAAAGGCGGGGGCCCAACCCCUGGACUGCUUUGGGAACUGUACGGCUGGAGUGCAGGAGAGGUA
rnacentral:rRNA from 1 species